rnacentral:rRNA from 1 species
GACGAACGCUAGCGACAGGCCUAACACAUGCAAGUCGAGGGGCAUCGGGGCGUAGCAAUACGCUGCCGGCGACCGGCGGAUGGGUGAGUAACGCGUAUGCAACCUGCCUUCAGCAGGGGGAUAGCCCGUUGAAAGACGGAUUAAUACCCCGUAACACAGGGGCUCCGCAUGGAGAUUAUUGUUAAAGGGAUACUUCCUUCGGGGGGUAUUCCGGCUGAAGAUGGGCAUGCGUUCCAUUAGGUAGUUGGUUGAGGUAACGGCUCACCAAGCCUACGAUGGAUAGGGGAACUGAGAGGUUGGUCCCCCACACUGGUACUGAGACACGGACCAGACUCCUACGGGAGGCAGCAGUGAGGAAUCUUGGUCAAUGGACGGAAGUCUGAACCAGCCAUGUCGCGUGAAGGAGGACGGCCCUAAGGGUUGUAAACUUCUUUUGCAGCGGAAUAAAGUAUUCCACGAGAUGGGAUAUUGCAAGUACGCUGCGAAUAAGGAUCGGCUAACUCCGUGCCAG